rnacentral:tRNA from 1 species
GCGGGUGUGGCGGAAUUGGCAGACGCGCUAGAUUCAGGUUCUAGUGAUCGAAAGGUCGUGGAGGUUCGACUCCUCUUAUCCGCA